rnacentral:rRNA from 1 species
GACGAACGCUGGCGGCGUGCUUAACACAUGCAAGUCGAACGAUGAAACCUAGCUUGCUAGGUCGAUUAGUGGCGAACGGGUGAGUAACACGUGGGCAACCUGCCCCUAACUUUGGGAUAACUACUCGAAAGAGUAGCUAAUACCGGAUAUGAAGUAUGUAGGCAUCUACGGAGUUGGAAUGUUUUUAGGUUAGGGAUGGGCCCGCGGCCUAUCAGCUUGUUGGUGAGGUAGUGGCUCACCAAGGCGACGACGGGUAGCCGGCCUGAGAGGGCGACCGGCCACACUGGGACUGAGACACGGCCCAGACUCCUACGGGAGGCAGCAGUGGGGAAUAUUGCGCAAUGGGCGAAAGCCUGACGCAGCAACGCCGCGUGCGGGAUGAAGGCCUUCGGGUUGUAAACCGCUUUCAGCAGGGAAGAAGCGAAAGUGACGGUACCUGCAGAAGAAGCACCGGCUAACUACGUGCCAGCCGCCGCUGUAA